rnacentral:rRNA from 1 species
AUUGAACGCUAGCGGGAUGCUUUACACAUGCAAGUCGAACGGAGUGGCGAACGGGUGAGUAAUGUAUCGGAACGUGCCCAGUAGCGGGGGAUAACUACGACAACGCGUAGCUAAUACCGCAUACUCUUGGCGCGGCCGAUAUCGGAUUAGCUAGUUGGGGAGGUAACGGCACACCAAGGCGACGAUCCGUAGCUGGUUUGAGAGGACGACCAACCACACGGGGACUGAGACACGGCCCAGAUUCCUACGGGAGGCAGCAGUGGGGAAUUUUGGACAAUGGGGGCAACCCUGAUCCAGCCAUCCCGCGUGUGCGAAGAAGGCCUUCGGGUUGUAAAGCACUUUUGGCAGGAAAGCGGUACCUGCAGAAUAAGCACCGGCUAACUACGUGCCAGCAGCCGCGGUAAUAC